CGGACACAACACAGGGGCAGUUGCAGGAUUUUUAUGGGGAGGGGAGUUCCGUACACACACACACACACAUAUACAUACAUACAUACAGACACACACAUAGUAUAAAUAUAUAUACAAACACAUAUAUACGCACACACACACAGCAUACAUACACAUAGGAGACUCAUAAUAGUAUACAUACACAUACAUGAUAUACUAACAUACACAGUACACAACAUGCAUACACAGCAGACACUAUACAUACUGUACACACACACACACACAUAUCUUUCACAAAAAAAUAAAACAGCCACCAUAAUUGCUGCCAGCCCCUGCCGGGUCAGCGAGAAUCCGUCUGACCAGCAUCUUUAAUUAAAGCCGCCCGCGUACGGAUCCACCACACCGGACCCGCCACUACCGCCGGCACCCCUAACAUGCGUCUCAUACUUGCAGACAGGAGAGGAGACGCUGCAUCCGUCCAGCCCCAUGAGAAGGGAAAUACUUGAGGACCGUCCCCCUAGGGUUCGCGUUGCCGCAGGAGGAGACUGAGAGUGAUCUUCACAUACACACUGAUGGCUGUAGCAAGGAACAGAGUAAUUUUUGUAGUCGCCAUCGUGUUUCUGCUGAGCUUUCUAAGCCACCGGAACAUAUUACAGGAUUCUCUGAGGCAUUUGCUUGGAGGCUGCAUUGCCCCAGUCGAACAAAAUAAUAUUGGUCAGGAGAUUACUGGGAUGACCAUGCCAGAUGAUACACCAAGAAAGAGCAAUCUGCAAUCUCAGAUAGAUGCAGUGUUUAUCAGAAUUCAGAAUCUCAUCCCCCAUGUUCCUUUUACUCCGUUUAAUGAAAGCACAAGUGGAAGACACAGUACGGCCUUCAUAGUCAAUCCCAGAGAACAGUAUUGUGUUGGAGACGACUUUGUGGUACAGCUCAUUAUGUACAAUUACUUGGGCAACAGGAAGACCUAUGGAGGAGACUUCAUUAGGCCAAGACUGUUCUCUAAAAAGCUUGGAGCUUCUAUGUCCGGAAGAGUGGAAGACUUCAACAAUGGGUCUUACCAUGUCCACUUUACUUUGUACUGGGCGGGCAAAGCCAAAGUCUCCUGUUUGUUGUGGCACCCCAGCGAAGGCAUUGCAGCUCUCUGGAGAGCGAGACAUUCCAGUUUGGGAGUUCUUGGUUUUCAGGGCCAUUAUGUAAGCUUCGGAAAGCAAGCCGUCUCUACCUGUGGUUUUCAGCUGGACACAAAGGAGGAGGUGUGUGAGUACAAAGAUGACUUUUAUGAAGAGGCCUUCUACUGUAUCAAACCUCGGAACUUCUCGUGCGACUGUUUAACAAACAUGAGAGCGGUGGAUAUUCAGGCAUCAUUUCUUACUCCCGGAGAAAAGCAGCUGUUCCAAUGGUCAAAUGUUGGUGUGGAGAUUGCCCAAAAUGUGCAGAUAAUGGUAACAAAUUGUGGAAAAUUAUCAACCCCAAAACCAAAAUGUCAGACAGGAAUGAGCUCUCCAAUCCCAAGUGGAUACUUUCUCAAUGAUACCUGGAACCCUGUUUACUGCAACAUGAUGACCUAUACAACCGGGGAGGACUUCACUAAAUGCCUGCAAGGAAAGAGACUCUUUCUCAUUGGAGACUCAACAUUACGCCAGUUUAUCAUGCACUUCACUGAGGGCAUCAAAAUAGCAAAGUAUUUUCGUUACCAUGAGAGUGGAUGGCAUAGCUGGGAGAAGACACUUGAGGCUUUGAACAUGGAUAAAGAUAUGUAUAUCUCAUACAAAAGGCAUGGUUUCCCCUUAGAGAGUUUUAUGUUCUAUUACUUCAAGGAGGACCUGUACACGAGUCGUCAAAUUGACCGAUGUGGCGGGGGAAAGGACACUAUCAUUGUUAUUACAAUGGGACAACACUUUAGACAGUUCCCCCUUAAACUUUACAUAAAACGGGCUCUAAACAUCCGUAGAGCGACAGAACGACUAUUUCUCAGGAGCCCCGACACCAAAGUCAUCAUCAAAACUGAAAAUACCAGAGAAAUUAAUUCCCCUCCUGAAAGAAUUGGUGACUUCCAUGGUUAUUCUCAGUAUCUGGUGCUGAGGGAAGUUUUCCAGGGGAUCAAUGUUGGCUUUGUGGAUGCUUGGGACAUGACGGUGGCUUCAGCCACAGCGACUGUACAUCCUCCAGGAGCCACGUUUGCAAGUAUUAUGAGUCUGACAUUUACUUUUGCUUGUUAAAGAACAAGUUUGCCGUGACUGAAAGCAACUGAACCAUUCCUGAGAUUCUCUCAGUGUUAUUGUAUUAUUCGAACCAUUGGUAUAUGGUCCCAUGUUUGUCACAGUUGGCGGGCAGCGGGAGAAAGCGGCGCGCAAGGCAUGGUGAAGGGGGAAGCCAGCUGAGGUAUGCAGAUUCACCCUCGGUGAAUGGACACACGCCCGGCCCCAGCCGUGGACGGUUGGGCCCGUGGGCUGCGCGCCAGGCGAGCGUGAUAUGCACCGCAGGGGCUGGUUCCCAAGGGGGUCGUUGCCGCGGUGCCUACUGGGUAGGCAGGGCACGCCCCAGGAAAAAUGGAAUGAGUGGGUAACACAUUCCACCUUGCCCACCACUUUUCUGUCCAUGCCCUGCAACCUUGUAAGGUGGUAUAUUAAUAAACUGUGGCCAGUGAUUUUACCCAAA